rnacentral:rRNA from 1 species
CUAAAUGCGGAAGAGAUAAGUGCUGAAAGCAUCUAAGCACGAAACUUGCCCCGAGAUGAGUUCUCCCUGACCCUUUAAGGGUCCUGAAGGAACGUUGAAGACGACGACGUUGAUAGGCCGGGUGUGUAAGCGCAGCGAUGCGUUGAGCUAACCGGUACUAAUGAACCGUGAGGCUUAACCUUACAACGCCGAAGGUGUUU